AGGUUUGCUGAACUCCAGAUACUCAUUCCUCUGAGCUCCCCAUUCUCAUGAUACCUUGGCUCACAGCCACACCAUCUCAAAUUCCUGUGUCUCCUGAGGACUGAAGACCUUUCCAACAUUGAGAGAUCCACUAGGAGGAGACGAGAAUCCUGUUGCAAAGAAAAUACCUUGGAAGCGCUGUUUUGCAAAUUGGCCUUUCCUUGGCUUUCCUUGUUUGUCUACACUGGCAAAAUGAACUGCGGAGUCAAGCGCAGCUCCCGCUCACCUUUGUCGAAGGACACAGCUUCUUUGUUGUUUACGCAGCCUGACUGAUUGCCCAUGUUGACUACACUAUCUGGAAACUUCUCAACUCUGAACUUCACAGAGCAGGGGUCGAUGGUUUCAAGGAGAAUAUUUUUGUGCCCUUGAAAUUGUGGACUUAAAAAUAACAAACAUUCACCGGAU
rnacentral:lncRNA from 1 species